rnacentral:rRNA from 1 species
UACAGAGGUCUCGAGCGUUGUUCGGAUUCAUUGGGGCGUAAAGGGCGCGUAAGCGGCGGGGUAAGUCUGGUGUGAAAUCUCGGAGCUCAACUCCGAAAUUUGCACUGGAUACUGCUCUGCUAGAGGGCUGGAGAGGAGAUCGGAAUUCACGGUGUAGCAGUGAAAUGCGUAGAUAUCGUGAGGAAGACCAGUGGCGAAGGCGGAUCUCUGGACAGCUCCUGACGCUGAGGCGCGAAGGCUAGGGGAGCAAACGGGG